rnacentral:rRNA from 1 species
CAGGGGGAUAACCGGGAGAAAUCCCGACUAAUACCGCGUAACGCCGCGGACCUGCAUGGGUCUGCGGCCAAAGGAAGCGAUUCCGGCGGGGGAUGGGCAUGCGGCGCAUUAGCUAGUCGGCGGGGUAACGGCCCACCGAGGCGACGAUGCGUAGGGGUUCUGAGAGGAAGGUCCCCCACACUGGUACUGAGACACGGACCAGACUCCUACGGGAGGCAGCAGUGAGGAAUAUUGGUCAAUGGGCGGGAGCCUGAACCAGCCAAGUCGCGUGAGGGAAGACGGUCCUACGGAUUGUAAACCUCUUUUGCCGGGGAGCAACGGGGUCCUUGCGAGGGCCCAAUGAGAGUACCCGGAGAAAAAGCAUCGGCUAACUCCGUGCCAGCAGCCGCGGUAAUACGGAGGAUGCGAGCGUUAUCCGGAUUUAUUGGGUUUAAAGGGUGCGUAGGCGGGCUGUUAAGUCAGCGGUCAAAUGUCGGGGCUCAACCCCGGCCUGCCGUUGAAACUGGCGGCCUCGAGUGGGCGAGAAGUAUGCGGAAUGCGUGGUGUAGCGGUGAAAUGCAUAGAUAUCACGCAGAACUCCGAUUGCGAAGGCAGCAUACCGGCGCCCGACUGACGCUGAGGCACGAAAGCGUGGGUAUCGAACAGGAUUAGAUACCCUGGUAGUCCACGCAGUAAACGAUGAAUACUAGCUGUCCGGGGCGAAUGAGCCCUGGGUGGCACAG